UACGAAGGGUGCGAGCGUUACCCGGAACCACUGGGUUUAAAGGGUGCGUAGGCGGCUUGGUAAGUCAGAGGUGAAAGCUUCCCGCUCAACGGGAGAACUGCCUUUGGUACUGCCAGGCUCGAAUUGGGUUGAGGCCGGCGGAAUGUGGCAUGUAGCGGUGAAAUGCUUAGAUAUGCCAUAGAACACCGAUUGCGAAGGCAGCCGGCCAAGCCUUGAUUGACGCUGAGGCACGAAAGCGUGGGGAGCGAACAGG
rnacentral:rRNA from 1 species